AUUUAUCCAAUGAGGAUCAAGAGAGGUCAACGGUCGUGCUUCUAAUGGGCCAGUCACGUCAUUUCAAAACCGGACUAACCGCGAACACCGCAGGAAGUUUGCGGUUCUGACUCCGCAACAAAGCUCCGUGUCUGCUCGCUCCUGGAGACUUUUAUUGCUUCGCUGCGCGGGAGAAGUUUUUUCCACCCUUGGCCUCCGCGGGUCCGCCACCAAACGUCCAGAAAAUCGGUUUUUAGUCAGGAUUAAUCCGGACUCCACCAAGUGCAGUGCCAAGGAGCAGAUGAGCCGGAAGACUGGGAGAGUGGUGAAGCGGAAGACUUCAUACAUGAACCCCCAAUCUCCUUCAUCAGGGACUUCACUGAGUUCGAUUGGCAAACUGACUAGAUGCAGGGCUCCAACUGGGAUCUGGGUCUCCAAGUUCAGGGCAAGCAAGAGGCCAUAGACUUUUAUUUCAAGUGUGAGGGGAAUGAGAGGACUUUACAGUGUCCUGAUGCAUUGUUCAUGCAAAUGUUCAGUAUUUUAAAGUAAAUGUAUAAUUGUGAAGCUCGGCUGACUGCUUUUUUUUUUUUUUUUUUUUUUGAUUUCUUGUUUCUAAUGUUUCAGGCGUGCCUGGGUAGUUGCAGUAGUCAGACAAAGUAGAGGUGUCUCUUUCAUUGUUGUGUUGGUUCUGAAGUGGUACUUGAUCUGAAAAGUUUGGUAACCUGUGCUUUAUCAUGUUCCUGUUCACCAAAUGUCUUCAAUGAAUAAUUGUGUCAACAAUUUUCUUGUUUUCUGUAGUAAAUUGAAAUAUUUUAGAA